CCUACGGGUGGCAGCAGUGGGGAAUAUUGGGCAAUGGGCGCAAGCCUGACCCAGCAACGCCGCGUGAAGGAAGAAGGCUUUCGGUUUGUAAACUUCUUUUGUCAGGGACGAAACACGUGACGGUACCUGACGAAUAAGCCACGGCUAACUACGCGCCAGCAGACGCGGUAAUACGGAGGGGGCAAGCGUUAUCCGGAUGUACUGGGUGUAAAGGGCGUGUAGGCGGGGAAGCAAGUCAGAUGGGAAAACCACGGGCUCAACCUGUGGCCUGUAUUGGAAACUGUUUGUCUUGAGUGCAGGAGAGGCAAUCGGAAUGCCGUGUGUAGCGGUGAAAUGCGUAGAUAUACGGAGGAACACCAGUGGCGAAGGCGGAUUACUGGACAGUAACUGACGCUGAGGCGCGAAAGCGUGGGGAGCAAACAGGAUUAGAUACCCGAGUAGUC
rnacentral:rRNA from 1 species